UUUCCUUCAGGGACAUCCGAUAAAAUUAGAACGAUAUAAAGAAACUUAGCAUGGCCCCCACCCAAGGAUGUCAGCACAAAUCGAGAAAAAAAUCAUAACUUC
rfam:Triticum aestivum genome assembly, contig: Triticum_aestivum_CS42_TGACv1_scaffold_220900_3B